rnacentral:sRNA from 1 species
GGCGGGCCGCGCGGAGCCUCAUUUCCCCGAACGCCGGCGCUCGGGGGCUGUAGCCGUGGUUGUUGGCCGACCGAGUGCCGGGCAUAAGCCCCCCCGGUGGGGGGCAGCUGGUGUGCGGAUCGCGGCGGGAGAGAGGCGCGGUAGGAACGGGUCCCCGGAGCCGUGAACCGCGGGUACGGGUGUCCUGUACGCGCUCUCGGCCAAGCCGGCUUGCUUCCUGAUCUGUUGCUAGGGCCGCCUGACCCCGUUGCUAAGGACCCUUGAGAUCUCUCUUUCAGAUACCCAAAUCCACCCAUGCUAAAGUCCUCCAGUCUGCUCUCCGUAUCCGUGGUUGGGUCAGUCUAUAGAUGUGGAACCUGCAUAUACGGAGAGCCAACUGUAAUUUGUCCUUAAGUUUGUUACAGGAACAACUUUUUGACAUGAAGGAAGAUAGAAAUUUAGCUAUAAAAUUCCAUCCAAAACUUCCACUGAAUUGGAGCUUCUCAAAACAGAAGU